rnacentral:rRNA from 1 species
GUUGUAUGGUUAAGUGACUAAGCGUACACGGUGGAUGCCUGGGCAGUCAGAGGCGAUGAAGGACGUACUAACUUGCGAUAAGCGCAGAUAAGGCAGUAAGAGCCGUUUGAGUCUGCGAUUUCCGAAUGGGGAAACCCAACUGCAUAAGCAGUUACUGUUAACUGAAUACAUAGGUUAACAGAGCAAACCGGGGGAACUGAAACAUCUAAGUACCCCGAGGAGAAGAAAUCAACCGAGAUUCCGGUAGUAGCGGCGAGCGAACCUGGAUUAGCCCUUAAGCACUCGGUGAAGUAGGUGAACAAGCUGGAAAGCUUGGCGAUACAGGGUGAUAGCCCCGUAACCGACGCUUCAUCGAGCGUGAAAUCGAGUAGGGCGGGACACGUGAUAUCCUGUCUGAAUAUGGGGGGACCAUCCUCCAAGGCUAAAUACUCCUGACUGACCGAUAGUGAACCAGUACCGUGAGGGAAAGGCGAAAAGAACCCCUGUGAGGGGAGUGAAAUAGAACCUGAAACCGUGUACGUACAAGCAGUAGGAGCACCUUCGUGGUGUGACUGCGUACCUUUUGUAUAAUGGGUCAGCGACUUAUAUUCAGUGGCAAGGUUAACCGUAUAGGGGAGCCGUAGCGAAAGCGAGUCUUAACUGGGCGCUCAGUCUCUGGAUAUAGACCCGAAACCGGGUGAUCUAGCCAUGGGCAGGUUGAAGGUUGAGUAACAUCAACUGGAGGACCGAACCGACUAAUGUUGAAAAAUUAGCGGAUGACUUGUGGCUAGGGGUGAAAGGCCAAUCAAACUCGGAGAUAGCUGGUUCUCCCCGAAAGCUAUUUAGGUAGCGCCUCGGACGAAUACUACUGGGGGUAGAGCACUGUUAAGGCUAGGGGGUCAUCCCGACUUACCAACCCUUUGCAAACUCCGAAUACCAGUAAGUACUAUCCGGGAGACACACGGCGGGUGCUAACGUCCGUCGUGGAGAGGGAAACAACCCAGACCGCCAGCUAAGGUCCCAAAGUAUUGCUAAGUGGGAAACGAUGUGGGAAGGCUCAGACAGCUAGGAUGUUGGCUUAGAAGCAGCCAUCAUUUAAAGAAAGCGUAAUAGCUCACUAGUCGAGUCGGCCUGCGCGGAAGAUGUAACGGGGCUAAGCAAUACACCGAAGCUGCGGCAAUGUCUUUUAGACAUUGGGUAGGGGAGCGUUCUGUAAGCCGUUGAAGGUGAAUCGUAAGGUUUGCUGGAGGUAUCAGAAGUGCGAAUGCUGACAUGAGUAACGACAAAGGGGGUGAAAAACCUCCUCGCCGGAAGACCAAGGGUUCCUGUCCAACGUUAAUCGGGGCAGGGUGAGUCGACCCCUAAGGUGAGGCCGAAAGGCGUAAUCGAUGGGAAACGGGUUAAUAUUCCCGUACUUCUGACUAUUGCGAUGGGGGGACGGAGAAGGCUAGGUGGGCCAGGCGACGGUUGUCCUGGUUCAAGUGCGUAGGCUUGAGAGUUAGGUAAAUCCGGCUCUCUCUAAGGC